rnacentral:rRNA from 1 species
GACGAACGCUGGCGGCGUGCCUAAUACAUGCAAGUAGAACGCAGUUCCGCACGGGUGAGUUACGCGUAGGUAACUGCCUCUUAGCGGGGGAUUACUUUUGGAAACGAUAGCUAAUUCCGCAUUCUGUGAGAUGGACCUGCGUUGUAUUAGCUAGUUGGUGAGGUAAAGGCUCACCAAGGCGAAGAUACAUAGCCGGCCUGAGAGGGUGAUCGGCCACACUGGGACUGAGACACGGCCCAGACUCCUACGGGAGGCAGCAGUAGGGAAUCUUCGGCAAUGGACGGAAGUCUGACCGAUCAACGCCGCGUGAGUGAAUAAGGUUUUCGGAUCGUAAAGCUCUGUUGUUAGAGAAGCGGUAACUAAAGAGAAAGGGACGGCUAACUACGUGCCAGCAGCCGCGGUAAUAC